GACUUGUUCAAAUCUCUGGAAUUUCAUCCUCACUGCACAAUCUUUCACACUGAGUUGGAAUACAUACAUCUACAAGUGCAUGCAUGGGUCAGCCCGUGGACAAGUGGAAGGGAAUUGGGCUUGUAACCAGAGGGUUCAAAUCCUGGGUCCCCAAAGCUUCCCAGGCAAAGGUUUCUUUGAAGGGUAGACAGUUGUUGUGGACCACGAGCUGUUGUCCUAUAGACCACCACUGCCCUGUGAUUGGUCAAAGUCUUCCACCAUACAAGGCGGUACGCAAGUCCAGAUGUGGCUCAGAUCACUUUCUUGUGAUUAUGC